rnacentral:rRNA from 1 species
UACGGAGGGGGCAAGCGUUGUUCGGAAUUACUGGGCGUAAAGGGCGCGUAGGCGGCCUUCUAAGUCGAACGUGAAAUCCCCGGGCUCAACCCGGGAACUGCGUCCGAUACUGGAAGGCUUGAAUCCGGGAGAGGGAUGUGGAAUUCCAGGUGUAGCGGUGAAAUGCGUAGAUAUCUGGAGGAACACCGGUGGCGAAGGCGACAUCCUGGACCGGUAUUGACGCUGAGGCGCGAAAGCCUGGGGAGCAAACGGG